UACAGAGGUGGCAAGCGUUGUCCGGAGUCACUGGGCGUAAAGCGCGCGCAGGCGGUCGCCAAAGAGUCGUGUGAAAGCCCCCGGCUCAACCGGGGGAGGCCAUGGCAAACUCGGCGACUGGGGCGGCGGAGAGGCCCCUCGAAUUGCCGGUGUAGCGGUGAAAUGCGUAGAGAUCGGCAGGAAGACCAAGGGGGAAGCCAGGGGGCUGGCCGCUGGCUGACGCUGAGGCGCGACAGCGUGGGGAGCGAACCGG
rnacentral:rRNA from 1 species